CAUGAGCUAUUGAAAAUGAUAAAACAGUCUGAAAAAGUUAUUCCGCAGAAGUUUUCCUUUGUCUUGAAAUGGACAGUAGUAAGUAUAACCAAAAAGAGGAUAAUAGUCUCUCGAAGCUGGGUAUGCUAUAUACAUCUUAGUUCCAUGUAUAUAAUAUAUGUAUAGCCAUUUCUAUCUUAUGGCUACUUUCAAAUGAAAAUGUUUUUUAUGUAAUAGACUCUUGCUUCAACUUAUACUCGUCACUGGACUACUAUGAGUAUACUCGAAGACCCAUCUAUAAAUUAAUAGCCUUGAUCAAGGAGCAACGAUUAACUUUCACUUAAUUGAGUAAUCGCAUUAACCUGAAGGAAACCACAAUAGUUAUAUAACUUCAGGAAAUGGUGAAACAUCAAUGCACAGAUUAACUCGGCCAAAGCCGCUGGAUGGAAGCUAUGCUUUUUCUGAGCGAUGCAGUACACACUUCAUGACAUGUAAAAUAAUUGUUAAAUCUAAGAUUCAAACUUGAAUUUCUUUGUAAGAAGAAAAUAAUGUAAGUACCCAUCUCUGAUGAGUUAUCAUAAUAAUAAUUUCCACACUGCAAGAAAAUCACACACCUUCAAAGAAAAAAACACAUGAUUAUUCCUGUAUCAGAAAACCAAAAUGUUUAUAUAAAUGUUCACCUUUGGUUGCUGAUGUCAUCUUGGAUUGACUCCCAUCUUUUCCUAUGUCUAGCAAGCUGCAACAGUCCCUGCGGAAAAUGUCUACAGUAUAUCCAAUAAAAUCAUUUGUAGCCAAAAUACAAAUAACUUAUCAAAUAGAGUACACAACUUACAUGGAAUUAAAAUGCAAGAAGGUGCAUAAAUAAAGUAUCCAAUAUGCGCAGGAGUUCAUGCAAUGUUUUAGAGGUAAAUCUUAACUGAAAUGAGAAUAAAUAGACCUUUUGGCGGAUCAAAACCUAUAUUAUCUUCCUUUCGCUCCUACUUGGUUGGUAUUUAGUUCAACGCCUACAAGCUACAGGCUACUGUACUUCCGCAGAUAUUCACAAGCACCUGAAAAUUAAGAAAACAUGCAUGUGAUGUUCGCGUAUACAUGUAGUAGCUUCUGAAGAGCACUCUUUUUGUAAGAAAGCUUCUGAUUAACCUAUUGUUUUCUAAAUUUCUAAUUAGAGGAAGACAUGAUAUUUACUUGAGAGCGUAAUCAAGAGACUAUAGUACUGCCC
rnacentral:lncRNA from 1 species